AACGCAAAUUUCACAGCCACUCACAACGCUACAGCAUCCCGUUGAGGUUGAACCCUUGUGGCGUUCUGACCCAUGACCAUCGGGGUAUUGUUGUAUUGGCUUCGGCCUCUUGCAGUGGACUGGAGAAUAAUCGGUUAAUCUUGGGUGCAGCGUUCCAUCGGUGAAUACUUGUUAUUCCUAAGGGACUGCCUUCGUGCGCCCGUAUGGGGAAUGCUGCAAGGAUUAGCUAUACAUUU
rnacentral:snoRNA from 1 species